CAGCAGUGUGGAUACCACUCCUCUGCCACACAGAGCCUGUGUGACAGCACACAGGGACUGCUGUGGAGUCAGCAAUCACAUUCCAUUUCCAACAAAGAACAGCCCCAUGGAAGCACAAAGUCCUUCUGUCACCUGCUGCACUGCAAAGCAGGAGUAAAGAACCCGUAUCAGUCCAGCCCUGCCUCUCACACCAAACCCAACCAGCUGGGCACACGCACAGCCAACAUGUGAGGAAGUCAGCUCAGUGCAUGGUUUAACCAAAUGCACUCGGUAGCAAUCUAGGUAACGGAGAUGCUUGCUUCCCACCAUCAGCUCGGUUUGCAGCCAUCUGAACACACCACUCCCACCCCCCAGGAUGCACCUUCCAAGGCGAGGAGCUGCAGCUCAGAACUGUGCUUACAGAAGGUGCCUCUCCUCCCAGCCCGGAGCAGCACGGAUUUUAUCAGCUGCGUUGUUCCUCACUAGAUGUCAACUGGCUGCUUCUGCACUCUGAGAUGCAAGAACGUUCCUUGAUGGGUAGCAAAGAAUUGUUUAAAGACUGAACGUUCAGCUCUUGGACUAGGUGCAGUGUGGUUGCCAAGGCACCGUUGUGUGUACAUCAACAAAUCUGGUUUAGUUCCACUCAAAGAGAUCUUAAAGCCUUUGCCUUGCAAUGCCAGAAUUUUGAAGAGCAAAGUUUGGAUACGUACUAGAAAACAAAGGGCAUCACCCAAACUGGAUGUUUAUAUGUGCGCUUUGUUUCUUUACCCUUUCUUAAAGCAAAGGAAACGGCACUACAGCUUCACCAUAUUGCCUCUGAGGUGGAGCAGAGAUGUUUCCAGCAAGGUGAGGCAGAGCCACGCUGCUCGUGUUGGCGGUGAGGUCAAAGCAGAGCCCUGUGCUCAGCAGUGCUGCUGGGAGUGGGGCUGAGCAGAGCUGAUGGUGACGGUACGGCUCAGAGAGGAGCAGAAGGAACGGCGUGCUGAUGGUGUGCCAGCCCUUCUGGGUCCAAACAGAACACCUGAAUCAGACAGCUCAGAGAUCCCAGCCACAAAGCACCACCCAGACCCCCCCACCCUGCACUUCCAUCCUCUGACACACCAUUACAACACAGGCACACAGCAGUGCAGAGGAGCACCGUGCUGUUCCAGCCUCCGGCGCAGAGCUGCGAUGCACAGCGUUGGAACGAGCUGUGCUUUUUGCCUGCUCUGUACAUAUGUUUUUGUUGCUACAAAAAGGCUUGCCUGGGACUGGUGCCAAAUGUGAAGUAAGUGCUUCAACAGGUGCUGGUCUCUCCUAAGGAACCUCCUAUAAGGCGUGCUGGGCUGGGGGGGUUGCUUCACAUCCCCAAUAGGUACCCAGCACAACGUAACGGGGAGGUCACCACCAUUUGUCUUCCCACUGCACUUAAACAUGGAAAUGAGGAAACACAGGAGAUGAAGAAUUACAGCAGACCUCAAAAACGACCUGGUUAUGCAGCUUUGGUGUGCCAUUCAUCUCACCAGCUCUCCCUUCAACAAAUGCUUUUGGAGCUCUGCGCCAAAACUUUACUGCUAUCCUGUAAUAUUGCAGGCUCUGUGUUUGCUCCUCUCCUCUGCCUGCUGCCUCUUCAGUGCUCACCACCUGUAUUCAUCCCCUGAGCCACAAGAACUCAGCGAGCCUGCACUGCAGCACUGCCAUCCCUGUGCUCCGUGCCCAAGGUAAGGGCUGCCAGACAGAACAGCACCAGCUCCGGCCUGAGGCAGCUGGAGGGCAAAGGAAAAAGCCAUUAUUUGUCACAGCACUUCAUUUCUGCUUAGCAUGCUUGCUCCAAAGGAACGCCUCCCAUAGGACAGACCCUGACCAGAGCUCUCAUUUCCCUCUGCCAGCAUUUCUCUUCCUCUACUUUAAAAGUUUUUAAGCCAGAAACCAAUUUGGAGCUAUUUUGUCACUAAAAUAUUUCCAUGCAUGCAGUUUUUUAGCAUAGCUGUAAGCGUUCCCUAAAUAAAAGCACGUUGGUACACCCUUGGUUCCAUAGAUUUGUAGUUCUGUUACAGCCAAUACGUCAUUCCUGCAGCUGGGGUUACCACCUGCAUGGCAGCAUCUUGGCAGCCAAGAGGGAAGGGACAGCUUGCUUCCCAUGCAGCAAGCAGGAACCUGCAAGCAACGUUAGCAGCAUUCUUCCAGAUACUGGCUGCUAUGGGAAUGCAUUGAUACAAAACACCUCAGUGCUUCCAAUGAGGUUGGGCUGCAGUUUGCUGUGUGUGCAGCUGCGUGUGCACAGAGCCUUCAGUUAUACAGGGAGAAGGAAAAAAAGGAGAGAAACACAACCCCAAAAGCACAUCCAGUUUUCCUACCGCCUUUCUAGGCAUCCAAAAAUAUGCAGAUGGGAAUCAAAGGGAGCAUUUAUUAAAAUGCAGUGCAUCACCUUCUCUAAAUCCCUUCCCCUUGAAAAAUACAAAUAAAAUUUGGGGCAAAUGGCAAAGCUGUGUGCAGGACUCGGCUGUCACCAAGGGCAGAUGUGACCCCAGAACGCAGAGAACCAAACCCUGCCAGCAGCACAUCCUGCAAAAUGCCCUUUUUUAUACACAGAUUUGAUUCCCAUAAGGGCAAUAAAAGGGUGGGGUGUCCUUGCAACCAGAAAAAUAACGCUAUCUGCUGAGUACAGGAAGUCAGAUCUCACGAUAACUGCUCUGCUGCUGGUUUGCAGUUUCCAUUCGAAACUUUCUUACCAAUUUCAGCUUUCCACUUUAAAGGUGUUCUCUGUAUCUGCCAAGGCCAAUAAGCUGCAAAACAAGCGCAGAUGCAACUUACAAAUGUGUUAAAGGAUUAACUCAAAGUUUUAAUGACCAUCUUAAGGGUAAAUUGUGCUGCUCCGAUCUGCACAAGGCUUGUUGGCCCGCUGCUCCCCAUGGCUGCAGGAAGGAGAUCAGAGCCUUUCCAGGGCACAAACUUCCUCCUGCCCUGCAAGACAGCAGAAGGGAGAGACUCCAGAACUCCCAACCUGGCUUCUUUCUCCAGCGUGAAAUUCAACAUUAAGUUAAACAAACCCUCCAGACAAGUCAGCACUGCGGUGGAAUCCCAGUGGAAGUAUUUUCUUCAAAGGGAGAUUUCUUCCCAUUCACAAUCCUCAUGUUGAUAAGAAAAGCAAACAGUCUUAAAAAGAAAGAUCAGUUAACGUCUAUUUAAUGACUCGCAGUUACUGCAUUUGGAUUUGGUGGGAACACAGCCAUUAGAAAUCACCCAAUUAGCCAUCCAGCUACUACAUUACAAAGUUCUUUGUGUUUGUGUCUGAGCUGCUGAAACUGCCCAGCAGUUCACUGAGUGCUGGGCCACCAGCAGGGCUCAGCUCCUCCCUCACGUUCACCAUUUUCUGCUCAUGUUCUGAAAUUUGAACUGUAUUCUUGAAACAUUUGCUGUUCAAUUUCUAAAACUAACAUACAUUGGGAUCAUACAUUCACAGAAUGGCCUGGGUUGCAAAGGAGCACAAUGCUCACCUGGUCACCAACCAGCAGCCCAGGCUGCCCAGAGCCACAUCCAGCCUGGCCUUGAAUGCCUGCAGGGAUGGGGCAUCCGCAGCCUCCUUGGGGAUAACAGCUCAUUUAUUAAAGCAGCCCCUUCAAGAAAGUCGUCUAGAAUUUAUUUAAUCAAAUAAGGAAGGAUUCAACAAUCAAUAGGAGAGCAGCCUGCUACGCCGAGGAAGGGAAAACUCUUGGCCACGUUUCAUUAGCUGCAGUUCCAAAAUCAGAGCACACCUAAGCAAGGGACUUUGUUCUGUUACUCCUGAAUAAUCAACCGUUGGUGGCAGCCACGAAAAGCAAACCUGCACACAGAGGAUGGAAAAAGCACGGCCAGCUUCCUCACCACUCCUCCUGGCUGAUGGAGACAGGAUUCACAGAUGAGUUUGUUAACGAAAAAGAGAAUCCCUCGCAAUUCUUUCUCCUCUGGGCUGUCACAAUCAGGAAGAAGCUGCAGCGAGCCAGCUUUUGAAAGCAACUUAUUUCCUGCAGUUUCAAGUACCGAUCCAACAGCAGCAGAGGAUCCAAAUGCACAGCUGUUCCUCCCAGGAAGACUGGUAAAGGAAAUGAAGUCUGAAGUGCAGAGGAAAGGUAUAAUCCGCAGUGAUAGCAGCUGCUCUGUCUGGGCCACUUGGGACUUAAAAUAUUCCAUCAUUAUAACACAACAUUUUGCAACGGGUUUUUUGAGUUUUAGUAUGUUUUUCUUGUCAUGAAAGCAAAGAUUUUAACACUGGCUGGGAACAGACAAGUGCGGACAAGCGGAGAGAAAGUUUCCCUUGUUGCUGCUGCCAAUCUCAUUUGGCCUCAUGGUGCUGUUACCGUCCUGGUGCAACAGACACUGCAGAGAAGAGGACUACCAAGCCAAAACAGGAAGCCAAACGUCUACUACAAACUAAGUGAAAAUCACCACGAGAAAAUCCAGACAUAUGCUAUGAACCGGAUCUGAACCCAGGCUUCUAGAACUGCUACAUCAUUGUUUACUCCUCCAUCACUCUAACUGUCAUUGAAGUCACUUGCAAGUAUUUGUUCCAUUAUCACACUGACGUUUUGGGACACGAACAACACAAACAGCCCUGCAGGCCAGCCCAAACGUAGCCAAUAAUACAAAUUCAAGCAAAAGAUAUUGGUUGUUUGUUUCGGGUUUUUUUUUUCUGUUGCAAUGCACUGGAAUUCAGCAGCCACAGGAGCACAAGAGCUGCGUUUCAGCCACACUGCAGUGCUCCAACAAACCCAGCAGAGCAGCCUCAGCACUGCGCUGCCUUUCGGACGGCUGUGCUUCACCAACACACAUCCAAGGACUGAUGGUUUUCCUUUCAUAGAGGCUUUAGAAAUUAACAACGGGAUGUGACAUUCGAGCACCAGAACCAAAGGGAUUCACAGCACGGGAGGGGAGGCAGAACUCUGCCCCUCCAUCUCACAGAGCCCCCAGAAGUGCUCCACAUAAAUCAAACUGGAAAGCAGAAGCGGAUUUCUGCAUGAAUGAAACCAUCCAGUUAGAGGACAGGGGUCAGCAAGCUGGCUAACUUCUGACUUUAAGUACCUGAUUAAGCUGAAAGAUUUCCUGGUGCACAAGGCUGCGAUUCCAGCUGCUUAUGGUAAGCACGAGGUCUCUUCCACAGCAGCAGCAGCACGGGUCCCUUCUGCCUGCAGACAAACCUCUGCACACUCAGGCUGUACUGAAUGAUUCUGUGCUUUGGAAAGGAGAAAGGAGACGAGAAGUUCUUACCCCUACUGUCUGUGACAACGUGAGCUGUUUGGGGAUUACCUGAAAUCAUUUCACUUUUGCAGUUAUUGCACCUACAGAGCAAAGAACUGCAGGUAGGACUGUGGUGGUGCACUGGGCACAGCGUGGUGCUGCUGGGGUUCUCCCUUGAACCCAACUCGGGCACAGAUCCACACUGCAGAGCACAGAGUGGGGAGAAGGCAGUGCUGCACAGAGCAGAGCCCGCGCAGCCCCACGGUGCAAAGCAUCACUACUGCACACCAACCUGAAAGAAACUUCUCCCAACUGGUAACCCUAACACCGCAUUGCUAAAAGCAUUAUAAUCCAGUUAAAUAAAUUUCAUUCAUAAGAGAUGAAAUAUAUACUGAUCAGCAAAGCUUAAGCAGGGAUCGCUUGAGUCCCUGCCAACGAGCAAUCGCUGCACUUUUAGCACUCCAAGAGAGCCAAUUAUUACUCAUGAGUUCAUGAUGUUUUCUUCACCUUCCUGUUGAAGAGAUUAUUUAAGACCUCAAAUCACUUAACUGGAUUGUUUUGUCCUGUUAUGAGUCAUCUACGAAUUCCAAGGCACCAUUAGAUUCUCCUUCACGGGCUGAAACCAACUCCCCAGAUUGCCUCAGCUCCACAAUUUGGAGGAAACGGGGCUAUAAAAAUUACACCCAUCCCCAGACCCCCAUCCCCAGGUGUCUUCUAGAGUUCGUGUGAAAGCGAAAAGAUCUCACCUCCUCGUAUACAAUUACUAUUUAUAAACCACCCCAAAUCCACAUUACGCUCCAGGCCAAAAACCCUUCUUCCUGUAAACCCAAAGAGACCAAAACAGAAUGCUUCACCGCUGCAGGAAGAAAGAAUAGCUGGGGGGAGGGAGGAAGGCAGCAUUUAGCACUGAACUCCUGUUUUUAUUUGUGAUUUCUGUGUUUUCUACCAGCAGAACUUUCUUACACAUCAGCUGCAUGUAGCUGCCUCCAUCAAAUGAGUCAGUAUAGAGCACUGGGUGUCCUGGGGGCUGUGGGCAAAGAACCCCCACCAGCAAACCCUGCAGAAUCUGAGUAAUGAUAACAAUUAAAUUUAGCACGCGGGCUGUCACUCCGUGUUUAAGAAACACUUUGCUAUUGCUGGGGAACAAAGGUUUACUGUUUGAGACUUCACAGUCACAACCGAGUCGCAAGGAAAAACAGGAUACAGCACAACUCACGCCUUAAAAUAGUGGCUGUUCCUCAGAGUUCUGCUCUAUCACUGGGCAGGGAGCCAAGCUGAGCUACAAUAUGAACCAAACCUGAUUUGCACUGCUUUUAAAAACAAAACCAGAUCCCAUGGCAGUUCCGAAAGCACCGCCCUUCUGUUCUGAAACGGCAGGAGAACGGCGUGCGCGCCGCCGAUGGCUGCGUACAACGCUUCGGAGAGGGCUUCCACGUGAAGCUCAUGGAUUAUCUGAUAGCAAAUUCCUGGCUUUUAUGAUAUAUUUAGGUCCAGCACUACACUGGAGGUCUGACUGUUGUCCCGGUGGCUGUUACUUCCUAGCAGUGUGCUUUAAAGAAAGCACUGCUCAGAGCAGAGCACCGUAAGCACCCGCUGCUUGAUGGGCACGACCCUGGAGAAGGAAUGUCCACUACAACUAAAUCACCCCUAAGCCAUUCCCCCUCCUUCUAUUGAAAUACCUCAGGAAGACGAAAUAAAAGCGGAGAUGCCCUCAUUAAGCAAGAUAAAAAUAGCUUUUCUGCUCCGUUUUUUAUUUUUAGCAAAAGACUGACAAUUCAGUUACGUAACCCUACGCGAUGGGUAAGUGCUGGACCAGCAGGGAGUGCUGCCACUCGGAAGGGGAGCAGCUCCCAGGAGCACACCCAGCUCCCAGCACAGUGCUGUGCCACAGAGCUGUGCCACCACGGCCUCAGCAGGUGCACAGAUGACUCUUCUCCAUCCGCAGACCACCGCGGCUGCGCAGCGCUGUUACCUGCACCAAUCCCUUGUGCUGCUCCCACUGCGUGCAACAGCAAGCCUUCACGCUGCAGCUUCUCGAGAUGAAGCUCCGGACCACUCUCAGAGCAUUACAAUCACCUGGCAGUACAGUCAGUGUUCUUUGAAUGCAAAACGCCCCAGCAAAGCGAGGGUUUUGCCGCAGAAGUGAAAAACCGAACGGCAAUGAGAAGUCAGUGAGACGUGAGAAUGGGAGCGGGGUGGAAAUGUGCACAGAAUGAGUGCUGCCUUCCUCUCCCUCGUGGAAAAAUGCCACGGAGUUGAGGGGAGCGGGGCCUCGUGGAGCUGGGAGUGAGGAGCUGCAAGGAGGACCAUGGCUGGGUGCACAGAUGGACAAGGCAGAGCCCAGCAGCACCACGCCAGCCACCAGCUGAACGGCUGCCACGAACAUGACCUGUACAUGUCUGCAAGGAAAGGAAACGGGUGAGAAGUCAACGGGUUCAAAACUCACGGUCUUCCCCUUUCCCACUCGUUUUUCCCAGCCUGCAGGGGACUCAGAGAUGGCAGGAAGGCUCUGCACUGCUUCACCUAUGGGAUGCUGCUCGGCCACGAUGCGUCCCAAGAGCAGCACAGCACAACCUGCAGACAGGCAAUCAGAGCUGGGGCAGCAUCACCUCCCUGCAAAGACACGCGCUGGGGAAACCAACAAGGGCUGCUGUGGCACAAGGGGAAUGUGCAGUUCUGAGGAAACCACGUGCAAAACAGGACUACUAUCAACGCUCCAUUGCAGCGCUAUGAAGCAGCAGUGAGAUCACAACAGCUCCGGUGCUCUGCAGAGCUCACGCGGCCCAACGGGCACCAAAGGAGAGCUCGACAGAAAUCUUAUCCCCAGAUAUCACUUACAUGGCACUAAUCAUCCUAUGCAAAUCAUUUAAAGCGAAUCGAAGCAACGUUUUAAACUUUAACUCCCACACGCUAUCAGAUAGGCAAAUCUUAGCUAAUGAGUUAAUAAAUACUUACAGCUUGGCUGCCACCUCGAGUUUACACAAAAGCCUUUGGGACUGCAAGUUUGUAUGGGAACACACGUAGUUUGGGCCAAUGGGGAAACAAAGGGAAGCAGCACCAAGGCCACAACUCCUUGCUGCCACAAAAUGCACACGGCAGCAAGCUGAUGUUCACUACCAAAAUCUACCUGCUUCCUCAGCCCUGCCAGCAGCCAGACAGCCCAACUCCAAAGGAACGGCUCCACCAGCACGUCCACAGUGACACGGGGAGAAAUGCCAGCCAUCACACCCAGAAAUGCUGUUUUAAAGAAAGCAAAGCUUGUUUCCUUCAGCUGCAGCAUCCCUUUGGCUGGGAAGUGCCCCACAGUACUCAGAUAGCAGCACACCAGGGAGAGUAUUGAUGGAAUGCACCAUUAGGGGCUGAUCGAUGCUUUUAUGGAAAUUGACAAAAUUCAGCCCAAGAAAACACUCCUCAGCAAUUAGAGAGAAAGAAGAGAAAACCAAGACAAAUAUUACGCCUUUAAACCAUCUUGUUUAAAUCCCCAUUGACCACGCAGGAGAAGAUGUCCACUUUUUGCCCAAUUAGCAUCUCGUUUCUGCUACCACAGAGCGGCCAGAAGUGCCGGGUAAUUUCCCGAAUUAAUGCCAGCACAUUAUUCAGAUUAAUCAAGAAUCAGCUCCUUACGCUGACAGUUGUCCACAACAGGUUUGGAGCUCUGGAGUUUGCAGCUGUAACUCAAAUCAUCACCACCCCACAGCGCAAUCUGUAAACAAGAGGCCAAAAAGAAAUGGGUGCCCACACCUGAGAGCUGCCAGGAUCUGAGCUCCGAGCACAGCUCAGCUCUGUGCCAGCAGCUCUGCAAUCCACCCCGAGGGAAAAACCCAACAGAGAGGGGAAGGGCUGACAGCUCCGAACUCUGCUCUGACAAAACGAGUAACUUCUAGAAAUGCAAAUUACUGCAAAUAUUCCCUGCUGCUGAAGCAAACGCUGAAACGCAGCGCAGCGAGCAGUUCCACGUGUUCAUCCACUGAACUGCACACAACACGCUGAAACGCGUCGGGGGUACAAUUCCAGUUCAUGAGCUGGGGAUGCUGGAUGAUUGCAGCACAAGGAGAUGGCCGUGUGCAGGAGCAGAUGCAGUCUGAGAGCAGAAGCACGCGGCUGCAACGCACCUGAGUGAUGGAAGCAUGAAAAAAAGCCAUUGUCUCUUAGAAAAACAACACAAGAAAAACACGAGUGGGCUCCCAGCAGAAAGGCUGCCCUGCUGAGGGAAGGCUGGGCUGUGCAGCACGGCUAUCAGCAGCAGCUCGUGCUGUUUACCUUGGACAGCUCAGGCCAAGGAAGGAGGCAGAGCGCUGCACAGGAACAGAGAUCCUUUGUGCCCCGCUGGAGCUCAUCUUUACAUCUGCACCGAUUCUGCCCUGCGUUAAGUCUCACACUCCCAGCACAGCGUGCGAUUGCAGCCCAGCACAGCUCGGUUCGGGGUCAGCAGGUUGCCCUGCUCCAGCAGCCCCCGAUGCUCGGAGCCCCCUGAUGCACUUCUGAGCCUGGGAACCUGUGAGCCCUGCAGCUGGGAGUAACGGAGCAGAGCACUGGGCAGAGCCACAGCCAAACCAACGCUGCUGCACAAGGGGAGCUCCCCACUGCCUGGAACACAGCGCUCAGAGCUGACAGCACCCAGCCUCUGCUGGAGGGCCGAGUUCUGAUUCUGCUGCACUUCUUUCACAUCUUUCAGUCACGUCAAAGCACCAUCAUGCAAUUGGAAUUUCUUCCGUGUCAAAUUAUUUAAUAAAAGAUAUCGGGAAUCACUGCGACACUGUCACCACCAUCAGUGUUUAUCAUUUUUUAAAGCAGACAUUAGCAGUGCCGAUUGAAGUAAGCUUUUACACACUGCUUUGCAUACUACCUACAUCUGAUGGACUGCUGCGAUGCACAAAGACCUUCUGAUCUCUCCUGCAGCAAGCAGAAGUACCGCUCCUGCCUCUGCUUCAGCAGCAAGAAAACAAACGUGGUGCCAUUGAGGAACAGUGGCUAUCAGGAGAGGUUGUCUUCUGAGCAGAGAGGUUUGCAGCAGCUCACAGAUGCUUUCCACACACUGUUGUGUGCAUGGAGAGGCCGCAGGCAGUGCUGGAAUUCUGCAGCAUGUUUCCAAGCAUCAUUGUUCACCUGCUUUCUUUUCCUGCCCGCUUUCACUGCAGCAGCAGCAGCACACUUCCCUGCUGUCUGUGGGGCUGGGAGGUUCGGGGGGCUUCUCUUUAAGGCUGCAAAAUCCAUGAGAGGGAAUUGAAACACAGCCCCAGCCAGAAUCCCACAGAACAAAGUGCCUCCCACAAUCUAUGUGAUAAACGAAUAAAUAAGCAGCCCUGGAAACUCGAGAGCAUUUCCAGCUGAAGAAGAACUACCUUUAAAAUGCAGGUGACAAGCUUUAAAAACUUAAAAUGCUUUAAUGUAUGGCUCUUCAGGUGAGAUUUGGAGAGCUCAGCACUAUCUGUGUCAUCCUGCAUGGCACCGCCUCGUUAACUGCAACUUUAGAAGGCAGCAGCAGCUUUGCGUGAGGGAGCACACAAGAAGCAUCCCUGUGCUGUGUUACAACAGGAAUCGAGAGUAGGCCCUGGUAAACAACUCAGAAAUCAGCACAGUGCUGAAAUUUCAUGCUUUGCAUUUAAAAAAAAAAAAAAAAA